rnacentral:rRNA from 1 species
GUGAGGAAUAUUGCACAAUGGAGGCAACUCUGACGCAGCCAUGCCGCGUGCAGGAAGAAGGCGCUACGCGUUGUAAACUGCUUUUAACCGGGAAGAAACCCCAGGACGUGUCCUGGGUUGACGGUACCGGAGGAAUAAGCACCGGCUAACUUCGUGCCAGCAGCCGCGGUAAUACGAAGGGUGCAAGCGUUAUCCGGAUUCAUUGGGUUUAAAGGGUGCGUAGGCGGAGCGUUAAGUCAGUGGUGAAAUCCUGCAGCUUAACUGUAGACUUGCCAUUGAUACUGGCGCUCUUGAGUGCGCUUGAAGUGGGCGGAAUGUGCCGUGUAGCGGUGAAAUGCUUAGAUAUGGCACAGAACACCAAUUGCGAAGGCAGCUCACUAAGGCGAUACUGACGCUGAGGCGCGAAAGCGUGGGGAGCAAACAGGAUUAGAAACCCGUGUAGUCC